rnacentral:rRNA from 1 species
CUACGUGCCAGCAGCCGCGGUAAUACGUAGGUGGCAAGCGUUGUCCGGAUUUAUUGGGCGUAAAGCGAGCGCAGGCGGUUCCUUAAGUCUGAUGUGAAAGCCCCCGGCUCAACCGGGGAGGGUCAUUGGAAACUGGGGAACUUGAGUGCAGAAGAGGAGAGUGGAAUUCCAUGUGUAGCGGUGAAAUGCGUAGAUAUAUGGAGGAACACCAGUGGCGAAGGCGACUCUCUGGUCUGUAACUGACGCUGAGGCUCGAAAGCGUGGGUAGCAAACAGGAUUAGAUACCCUGGUAGUCCACGCCGUAAACGAUGAGUGCUAGGUGUUAGACCCUUUCCGGGGUUUAGUGCCGUAGCUAACGCAUUAAGCACUCCGCCUGGGGAGUACGACCGCAAGGUUGAAACUCAAAGGAAUUGACGGGGGCCCGCACAAGCGGUGGAGCAUGUGGUUUAAUUCGAAGCAACGCGAAGAACCUUACCAGGUCUUGACAUCCCUCUGACCGCUCUAGAGAUAGAGUUUUC